rnacentral:lncRNA from 1 species
AAAAUCCUACUUUUUCUUUUAGUUAGAGUGGUCGUGGUAGGUGGUUUCACUAUUGAGUAAUGUUGCAAUGGAAGUGUAUUAAGAUUAAAUAUGAAGAGAACACACAGACACAGCCUUAAGUACUAGUACGAAACAUCCACUGCCGAGUGGGCAUCUGAGCAAAAUUUUUUUGCAAAUGAUCACAGUGUAGUUGAAAAAUGUAAGGCCUCCUAAGUGACACAGCGUGCUCCACUAUUUAACUUCUUAUGUUAUGGAUCACAUUUUUGGUUCAGUUUUAUGUUUGAUCAUGCACAGUUCACUGUCAGAAAAAUAUUUCAUUUGCAAAUACUGACUAUUCAAUUGUAGGGCCAAAUCAAAUAGGCCAAUAGUCAAUUGAUUCUUUGUAAAUUUAGAAUGUUGCACAGCCCUAAGGGGAAACUGCAAAGAAAGCAAAACUCUUUUGAGCAGUGCAAUUGAUGCUUGGCUUCCAGACUUCAUCGUAUCUACUAAUCUUGGAGGCUUCCCUUGUCACUUUUGUUGACUGCACUCUGUGGCGGGACGGCAGCUUCAUUGUUCUUGCGCUGAACCUUUCCAGCAUAGAUGUGUGACCUGUAAGUCUUAGUUUGAGGUGUGGUAGCUGACAGGUGUUGAAAGUUGUGAGGUUUUCUGACAGCGCUUCAAUCUCAUGGGAUGAGGUUGAGCGAGGCCAUCAAAUCUAAUUUGUGGUUGACGUAAAAAGCCUUGUGAGGUCAUUUGUUCACCUUGAGUGAGCAUUCAAGGUUUUAAUUGUCUUAUUUACUUUCGUCUUAUUCUUGCUUUAUAUGGGCUGAUGAACAAGCGGCAAAGGCAUUUGUUAAUGACCGCACAAAAAGCUAUCUUGCCUGUUGGUGAGGAUUCCUAUAUCCAGCUCUCGUGACUUUCAGCUUUCCCAAAGACUGUAUGCACCUAUGCCAAACUUUUGAAGGACUACCAUUUCUGUUGCUCUACUGUAAUCUUGUUUAUAUGUGUGUUUGAUUUUCAAGGUCUUUGGUUUUCUGUUUAAUUUACUGUAUGAAAUCCUGUGUGCAUCUUGCAUGAGGUUUUGAUUCUGGGAAUGUUGAGUGCCUCUGCUGACUUGUUUAGUGUUCAAAUUUGUUAGAUCGUUGCUGAGCUUUCUUAACAAGUUUAUGUAUCACACACAAAGAAGAGUUUAUCUUAACGAGUUUAUUGAAAAAGUCCUCGUUUACAUUGUGUGCAAACAUUUUAUUGCCUCUGUUUUGCUGCAGCUGGCUUCAACAGUGUUGUGGUUCAUGUGUUUAUUGUCACAUUAUAUUUAACUGAGUAGGAAUCUUGUUAUUACUUUAGAGUAGAUAUAUGGAAUUUAAUGUCUAUAAUUUGUAGCAUUUAGUGUGAAUUGUAAUAUACCAAGGUUUUUAAUAGGCACCUGCGUUGUAAUGUCAAAUUUUUGAACAAAUAUUCUGGUUCCUAUCUAGCAUAGGCACCCUGCAUUGACAGUGAUUUUAUUCCCAGGGCAGGGAAGAUUGAUAGCAACUCUGGCCAGAUUGGUGGAAGUCUGUAGGGGCAUACUGCCAACAGUUCAUGUGCCACCAAUGACAGAUGCUGUUAGACACUAAGUUUGAAAUGUAACUGAGAAUUUCUUUUGGCUGUAGACUGUGCAAGCUGUAGGUAGUGAAUGUAAAAAUUGUGAUUCACUCGAAAGUUGCAUGAAGCUAGGAAGAAAUCUUGUACAGAUUUCUCAGAAACAUAAGCUGUUAAGUGAGAACACUCGAAAUUCCAGCAAAAGGAGUACUACCCUCAGUUUGAACUUUCGUGGCUCCCAAUACUUCCUUUCACUCUACCAGUGACACUAUACAUUGUGGCCAGGAGUGAGGUAUCGGUGUUGCUGUACAAAGUGGCAUUCCAUAGUUGCAAAGCCUACUCGAUUUGUUGGUGUCAUUACCAUUGUUAUUGCACCUUUUGCCUGGUGCUGUCAUGCAUACAUGUACUUCAAAGCAACACACCCCUCGCACAGCAGACAUUGCACCCCAGAUGACUUAUGCUGCAUACAUUUGACAGUGUUUGACAGUGUGCUGCAGUCAAAUCUGAGUUCCAGUGCAACCUAGCAUGAAUGCGGCACAAGAGUGACCUAUGAAGGCUUGCUUGUGUCUCCUCACUUAGCUUUAUUAGUGUCAGCCACUGGACACAACAGAUGUUCAAUAGUUGAAUCAAAGGAAUAAAAGCAGGUAUAGAAUGUGGCUGCACAACGGGCACAAUAAAUUGGGAGUGGAUGCUUGCUUGCAUCUGUCAAAUCAUGGUUGAAUCAGUCAGCUGGUUGGUAAGAGAACACAGGAAAAUAUAAACACGAAUGUCUACUUGAUAACCUCUCCACUUUCUGGCUGAUGUUUGGUUGUUAGCCAUCGGCUGGUUUUAUGGUGCAGCCAGCAGAAUUUUCCUUUCUCUUCUUUCUUCUCACAGUAAAAAAAAAAAAAAAAAGUUAAGAUAUCACAUGAUCUUCACUUGAACCGGCUGCAUUAGCCAGCUAGGAAGCUGUGAAAAUGGGCCAGUGAUAUAUUGGUUUAAAAAAUGUGACUUGUGAUCAACCAAUUGCCAGCACCAGUUGUGUGAUGGCAGUGAAACUUUUAUUUCUUUUGUAAAUCAUAAUCAGAAUAGCUGUAAAACAUAUUUAAUCCGGCUUUACAUCGUAUUCGUGAUACUGCACAGACACAAGCUGAAAAUUAUAUUCUUAUCCUAUCUUAAUAGUCCACUCUUACAUGUAGCUGGCGUGCACAGUCGCUACAUGAUCACAUUGUGAUAGGUGCCAGCUGGGAAGCUUUCACGGCCGCAUACAGGGCCCCUUUUAUAAGUGUGGAGCAUGGGAGAAGUGAUCUUUGUUAUUGGUAAUGAAGCAUUGCUUGGCGCAUAUUAUUAUAAUAGGUAGAGAGGCUGCUAAAAAGAAAAACAGGAAAAGUGUUUUGUACCUGCUUUUUAUAACUAACAGUUGACUUAACCUAAUUUUAACAAUUUAACGUCUGUCGUAUAGCUGUCUUCACUCGGGCGUGUCUGCAUGUAGUAAACUUUGACAUAAUGCUGCAGUUAUAUUCCUUCAGCUGUGAGACAAUGCCUCAGAAUUCUAUACGCAUUUUAAUGUUGUCAGAGACAUUAUUUUGUGUGCAAAUUUCUGACUACAGGUUCUACUGAAAAACAGCGACAAUAAUCUGAAGCAUUCUGAAGGAGCCACGAAUUGGGUCAUAACUUGGGUGCCUGCCAUUUGUCGGUGGGAACUGGCUAACUAAUAUCAAUCGGGUGGAGAAACCUGCAUGGUGGUGUUAAAUAUAUUGUCCCUUUAUUUUGUAAUCAUGUACACUCAGUGAAAAUCCAGGAAUUCAGUACGAGCUUCAUUCAUGCAAAUGCAUGGCACCUACCUUUCUUUAAGCGACUAAUAUGACCUUUCAAUUUUAAACUGCUAUCUAACAUGAUGCCAAGAAACGACAUUGAUCCCCAGGCAUGAUAGCAAAUGAGGUAAUAUAUAUUGGUGGAAUGUUAGUCCUCUCUUUGUUGCUUGAGGGUAAAGUUUCACUUCUUACGCAUACUCUAUAGUAAUUUCACAGCAAAUUGAGCUAUUGCAGGUCAAUUAUUGUGACAGCAGGAGCAAUAUAUUGCAUAUGUGUCAGCAACUGAAAUGACAGUUUAGAAAGAGAAAAUUGGGUUCUAUUGCUUCCUCAAGUUACAUAAUUCUGACUUUGUUGAUAAUACAUAAUUGCUUUCAGUGGUGUAUCUCCUUGCAGUAGCUUUCACAUGCUAGGCAAAAUCGCCUAAUUAUUCUGCAGUCUGGGUAGGGUUUGUCUCAAUGGCACUGAAUUAUGCAGUGCAAUUCACUGCUACAGUUAAACCUCGAUAUAACAAGCUUCGGUAUAAUGAAAUUCUUGAUGUAAUGAAGUAUUUAACUUUUCAUAACUUGUCCAUAGAACACCACGUAUUUUCAACCUCAACAUAACAGGGUAUUUAUACACGAUUUCAAUAUAACGAAAUUUCACUGUCGCGAGGGAAUACCAAGACAAUAAAUGCAAACUUCCACGAAUGCAGAUGAUCAAAUGGUUCGAUUACAUGUGGCUACUUGCGAACGCAUCUCUUAAAUCAUGCCUCACAAAAAGCAGCUGCCGAAGUGGAGCAGCAUGAUGUUCCGUGUAAAGUCCCAAGUGCAAUAAGAUUGUAUUGCACGCUGCAUGCUAUAGGUGCAAAUGACUGUGUGCGAGGGUGAGCUGAGAAGGAUGGUGGCUUGAUGGACACUGUGACCUCGUGCAAGCAAGGGUAAAGGGGAGAGGAGAGUGAGCUUGCUGUAACGCGAUCAAGCGUGCGUGAGGGUGGAAGGGAGUGGGGGUUAGGUUGGUGCGUGUCUCCUUUUUGAGCGCGACCAUGGGUGCGCAUGGCUGUCAACAUGCAGCCCGCGCCCCCUGUUUUAGAGGUAAUCUGCCGCGUGUGUAAGACUGGGCAAGUGCGGCAUUGUGUGCGGUUUUCCUGCGUAUUUAGUGCUAGAGGUUGCGUAAUCUCGAGCUCUGGAGACUCAUUGAAGCAAAAGGCAGACGAAGCAUUUGCUCCCAGCGCUGCUAGCGCUUAUCACGAUAGCGACGUCCCACUGCAGGCGACAUUAUCAGCCACUGGGGCGGAGUGAAUGUGAAAGCGUGGCUGGUUACGCUUCAUACUGCCAAUGUGAAGAUAUUGUCGACACGGCCGUAUCUUUCAUUGCCGACUCUCAAAUUCAACAAAAUGAGUUUGUUUUUCAAUCAGAUUUGCUUUGACCGAUUGCCUGAUAAUUCCGAAAAUUUUGCGGCCUCUUUUUUGUAAGACAGAUCCAUUGGUGGCUGUACAUAUUUUUAUAAAAGAUAUAAUUUCGGGAUAAAAAAAUUUCAAAUAUUGACUAAAAAUUCCCUUUUUACUGACUUCAUUAUAUCGAGGUUGAACUAUACUUCACCAUAUCGGGCUCACUUUGUGGAAUGAACCAGUGAUUUCGUCCGUCAUGUGACUCUUCCACUUUAAGAGUACACUAAAGAGCAAAAUAAGUUGAGCUGUAUUAGUAAAUUACUAUUCUACAAUACGAAAAAAAGUCGUCGUUACUGUGAGGAGAGGCUCGGUAAUCCAGAAAAGGCGCUAAAACGAAACACUGCUGGCGAUGACACCUUGAAAUUCCUGACCUGCUGAUCAUGACAUUAUGGAUUUUAAUAGCUCUGCUUAUGCCUAGUUAAUUUUUUAUUGCUAAAAAUAGCCUAAAUUGUACUCUAGAAGAUCCAGAUAUUGAAGUUGGCGAGUUUCAAGAAUUCUGAGGCACAGUGGCCAAAAUAUGAAAAAAUACUUUGAAAUCUGCAAUGUCGCACAUACCGGCGUCGUGGUUUCAAGCCAAAAUUCAAGAAGUGGACUUGACCUUCAUUUUCUCUUCUAAUAAUCAACCUAUAGAUACAGAAUUAAUUAGGUCAGUGUCCCUUUAAUGGGCAAAUUGCAAAUUUUUGCAAGUAAACUGCUCUGCAGGGCUUCCUUCCAGCAGUGAACUUGCAUUGCACAGUGAUGGCCCUGCUGCUUUCUUUAGCAAACAGUGUUCAACUUGCCAUCUGUUGCUUUGAGCUACAAAUAAAGACUGCUGCACAGUGCAAGAUAUACUGGACAACUCCUUUUCCCUUCUUAUUAGUGGACAUCCUAACUUGUUCAUAGUCCCCUCCUCUGAGUAUCUUAUGUGCUUUUUUUUUGUGUGUGAAUGAAACAUAGUUGACAGUAUGAGCUGUACAGAAGAGCAUAGAGCUGGGAAAAUUGAUUUAAUAACACUGUUGAAAAGUGGCGCAACAUUUUCUGAAAAGACACGAGAAAGGGAUACAUAAAAGUGCUGAUGUCAUAUUUCCAUAUCACAUCCUGUCAGAAAAUGUUUGUUUUUCAGCUGCAUAUCCACAAUGUGUUCAUCCUUUUCUCCAUUGUUUCAGCUAACAGUUAUGACUAUAUACCGACUGGCUUAGAUCACAAGCACUGUCAUUUUUGGCACAAGGACAGCUGCCUCUCAGACUGCCCAGCUGAACUGUGUGCUGCCCAUAUCCCUUAAUAGUGAUGAUGCCUAUGUUACAUUUGCCAGGUGCCUCUAUGUCCGCAAGACUCGAAUGUUUCCUUGUUUUUUGCCGACAGAAAACGUGUCUGGAGAAUUCUAGAAUGUUAAGGCAAUUUGCUUCACAUUAUCAAAGUUUCAUUGUUGAGCCAGAUGUUUUUGAAAAGUUAAUUCAUGAAAAAUAACUUUAUGGGCAUCUUUACUCUGAAGUAAUGGAACUGUUUAUUUUGAAGCAAAUAUUUUAAAAGCUAAGUGGAUGUGAUUUUUAGCAGUGUAAUUCACAGAUGGAAUGCAAGAGCUACAGUUCAUUUACCACUUCCAGAAUUUUGACAUGUUGGAAUCGUGCUUGCUAUUUACAUUUUUUGUCCUACACAGUUGAUCAAUAAUUUUGUGUGGUGUCAUCAUGUUGUAAUGACUUCCUCCGACUUGCCUAAUGAAACAUUAUAUAUUGCUAGCCCAUGUGAAGGUAAAUUAGGUUACCCUGUACAUUGUAAAUGCUUAGCAACUUGACUGCAUUACCUGCCUAUAAGUUUACCUAAAUUUCAGUCUGUAUAAUCUUUCUGUGACCCCCUUUUGUCUUUUUUUUUUUUCAUGUUUUGAAAUUUAUUUUUAGACAUAGUCUUGUAAGAACCCUUGCUGACGAAUCUCUAACUCAAUAAAAUACACAAACUAGAAAGCUGUGUCACUGGUGUUUUCUGUCAUAGUAAAUAUUGGAAACUACACGUAACUUAUAAGUGCCUGAGUUACUCUCGUGAAUUGCUGUGGCAUUUCUUUGAAAGAGAAAACAGAUUUGGCCCUAAACACAUUAGCAUUCACUCUAAAUGGAAGCAGCUACUAAAGGGAAAAUUUGCUCCAGAACUUGUAGGUUUCUAGUUGUGCUCCCAGCAUCAAUUCUUGGCCAGCAUUGACAUUCUGCAGCAAGAUUAUUAUUUUUUUUAUUGUAUGCUGUUUGUACUUUUGAAAUAUGCCUUAAACAUGUGGUUUUCUGCUUUCUCAAUGGGACAAAUUCCUGACAAACGUUUUCAUGAAAGUAGGUUUCUCUUAGAAGGAAAUUGAUGCAUCAUCAAACAGUUUCUAAGUGUGAGGAGGAUAUAUUUUUACAGCAUAAGUUGCUGAGACAAAGUGAAUGUUUUGCCACGCGGACAGCUCUGUGCUAUUCUUGAUUGCCUAAUGUCUGUCAGGUACUGCUCUUAUUGUCAGUCCAGAAGCAUUGUAUGCUCUGCUGAAUCAGUAUAAUAUUUCAUUUUCACAAGGCAUACUAGCACCUUUAAAGGCUUAUUUCUUGACUAUGGGCUAGCGGAAGUCUAUUUCCUUGACGGUCAGUAUGUACAGUCAUCAGUGAAUGAUGCAAGUGCUUGAGUUUCUGUAAAUAUUGCCGUUAUGUGAAGCUUUACAUGCUUUUCGAGAUUGUAAAAAGCAGGCAUAGCAUACAUUCGCUCCUUACUCUGAGCUACCUGUGAAUGAAAUGUUUAACUGCAAAUAGUGCUGAAGGUAGUGCACUUCACUGACUCUUUUAUUCUUUGAUGACUGUAAAUGCUAGCAACAAAUUCAGUCUGCAGCAGUUUUGUUAAUUUUCUUGGCAUCUCGGUAGGCUGCAUUUAAUGAUUUAUGUUAAUUUUCUUUGUAUCAUUGAAGGUUGCAUAAAUUGCAUGAUUUUAGCAGUCACCAUAGUCUAAAAUCAUAAAAUUGCUGUUAGCACUGUUAAAUUCUUUUUAUGCGCUUCAAGUUUUGUGACAAGCUCUAUUGAUAUUCAAAAAAUUUCUUUUUCAUUUUGCAGGAAGGUUGGAAUGUGUGCAUGCCAUUCUUUUAAUGCACAACAUAAACUAAAAUGAAUGCCCAGGCUUAAGCACUUUGAGCACAAAAAAAUUUGAAGCUGUGUGCAUGAAAAUUAACUUGACUCACCUUGUUACCCGUGCUCUGAGCAGUGUUCUUUUUUUUUCUAUAAAGUUCUGUUUCUCAAUUAAAUGUGUUGAGGUGAUAUGAAGAACUAGUGUGUAAUUAAUCUUUUCAACAUCUUCAAACUGUUUUUUCUUUAAUAUAUAUUCAUUCAUGAACAUCCUCUUUUUUGUUUUUCAUUUUUCAGGUGCUUAAACUGACAACAACUAUUUCAGUGUUUCAAGCAUCUCUGGAAUAGUAUGCUUGCUUAUGUGUUAAGGGUGCCACUAUGGUUAGGUAUUCACUGAUGCAUUUCAUGGCUUUGGCUCAAGCUUUUAUGCACUAGCCAUGCACACCGAAGGAUUGUAUUGCUGAUCUUGAAGACUUGCAAGUUUUGCUGCUGUGAUGCAGCUUUUCUGCAAACUCUUGGUGCUUGCAUUGGAUGUAAGCUUGACAGUAACACUGCAGGAAGAGAUCCCCUUUCAUUAGGCAUUUGGAAGAUGGGCAUGGUUUAUUGAUUCAUUUAAUACAUGCUGUAAUACAGGCUUAUUGUGUAAAAUACAUUGUUUUGACUCUGGACUGGUGUGCCUGGUAUAUAAAGUUUAAAACCCGUCAGUUUUUUUUUUUUUUUUUUUUUUCCAUGCGAGUGAUGAAAGUGCCAUUGUCCAUUGUGAUGGAACAAACCAUACAGUGCUGACACUGCUUGAAAGAUAACAUUUAGAAGGAAAUUUAAAAUCUUAAAGUGGCAUAUUUUGACUGGCACCACUGAGAAUAAUUUUGAAAGAGUGCUUUUUGGAUGGCUUUGUAAAGAAAGUAGGUAUGUUCUCAAUGCUGGCUAUUCAAUGGUAAAAGGAUAUGUCUAGCUCGGCUAUAACUGGCCGCUGAUGUAUGGGUGCUGUAUUAUGGACAGGGAAAUGCUCAAAGUUAUGGAGCGAUAAUGUGGCAGUAGCUUGUACAAUUAAACAGUGUCAGUUAAACUGCAUUUUUGGGGGUUCCAGUAAUUUUCAAUUUACUUGGCUUCACAAAUUUCGUUUCUGACGCUUACGUCUUGAAGAAUUUGCCAUUAGUUCUGCAUUCAAUGUUGAGUUCUAUUCACUGUGUGUGUGUGCAUUUGUGUUGAGUUAGGGGAAAUACUGCCUUUUGGAGGUAUUUUACUUAUAAUCUGUAUGCAUUGCAUUUUAUGGCCUUUAUGUAGGUCUUGGCAGUCCAAUAUCCAUUGAGACUGGCAUGCUCUUAUGGUGUUAACCGGCAGCAAAUUUGCCUCUCAAACAUGACUCUAGACUUACAAGGCUAAACUUUUCUUGAUUGCAUCUGAUGUGCUGAGAAGCAGAACAGUAUUUUCAUCCGUGUGCUCAAAAUUCAGGUGAAAUUACAAGGCAGUCCUUGUGUUAGCAUCUCACUCAGGUUGAAAAAGUACAGUUAUUUAAAUUUUGUAUGCUGUGAGUGAAUAUGAGCAAGUUAUUUAUUCUCAUGCACUGUGGGCAGAGUUAAUACUUAUUUGGUAAAAAGCAGUUCUGUAAAAAGUUUGAAUGUUGCUACAAGGCUGUUAGUGACUGUGUGAUCUGUAAAUAGUGUGAUGUUGCUUUUGCUGCAUCAUAACUGAGGUGCGUGAAAUGGGGGUGUAGCAUUAAUUUUCUACUAUGAACAUUGUCACUUCUAAAUGUUUCUUUUAUGGCUUUCAUGCUCAUCUUGCAGUAUGACCUUGCCUUUGAUUUUCUCAUCUCUUUUUAUUAUAUUUAGCGCUGUAGGUAUAGAAUAAGACCAACUCCAACAAAUUCAUAAUCCCUACUCAGUGGUUAAACUGCAAACCAUUCAGUCACUGUCGUGGUCAUUUCUUAACUGAGAAUAUGGUUGCAGCAGGAACAUGGAAGCAAUUUGAUUGUGCCGUGUAGAAGUUUAGUAACGUUUGGUGAUGGUGAAAAUUCAAAAACAGUAUGGCGGCUUUUAGCUAUGUCAUGUAUUUAAGAGCAUAUCAGACUCUGUCUACCACUGGUUCACAAAAUUCGGAAGAUUGGACUGGCAGCUUGAGGCAGUUCUAUUGACGAUUUCCUCAACUGCAAUCGUCAUUUUGUCUUUAGUGCUUUGUAGGCUGCUUUGGCAUUACUGAACCAUAAUACUAAAACAGCCCUACGAUUAGGACAAAAUUGCUAAAUUUUGAUGGUAUGGGAGGGAUAGUUUGUACAGGCUGUUAGUAGUACUGCUUAAGGCAGAUGAACUGCUGGCGGUAAUGUCAUGACAAGCAAACAUCUGUCUUCCAGAAGUUCGACUUUUCAUUGAGCACUUAUUGCUAGACAAGUCAAGCAACAUGUCAGACCAAGAUGUUUUUCUACUUUGUUAGCCUGUUUCACAUCUAACUGGCUUUUUAUCUCCCACUCUUGUCCCUUCCCAUGCUCCACUGCUUCCUUCCUGUGCCAAGUGCUUCUAGGGCGGACGCGCACCUUCGAGCGGUAUUCCUCAUAUCAGAGGUCCCAGCUGGAGCAAGAAUACCAACGCAGCCGCUUUAUCUCCUACGAGCGCAAGGCUGAUCUGGCCCAAAGGCUUGGCCUUUCGAAGACCCAGGUUCAGUUCUGGUUUCAGAAUCGGCGCAGCAAGGAGAAAAAGCUGCUGCAAAAGAAUAUGACUACCUUUCAGCCAUGACAUUAGUAGCAUUGUGCCUGGUGGAUCAGCAAAGGCCUCGUCUGGGUGAACACCAGUGGUCACAGCAGUGAUGAAAGUAUGAUGCAGUUAUGCAGCUUGAUGCUUGUAGCCAUGUCGCCUCUCCUGUAGUAAGUUUUUAAGCAGUGUCGCACUUUUUACACAUGUACGCUGCAGUUUUAUCUAGUGUGCAGUUUUUCUGCUUCAGUUUUGUGAAUGGCUCAUAGGUAUGUAAAGCCUAUAGUCUUUGCAACAGUGUGAUUUAACCUAUUGUUAAUAGAGGCAUGGCAUGGCUUUUUGUAGCAGCACUGAUUUCAAGUGUUUAGGACUCUUCCUGUGUUGAAGCCUCAUUGUGUGUACGGCAUUGUAUUUUUUCUGCAUUGAAGGCAUUGGAAAAGGUUCAUACUGCUAUUACCAAAGUGCUGCCUUCACUCACUGUGCACUGCUCUAUAAAAAAACGCUGAGGCAAGAAUCUUUUAAUGAGUGAACAUAACUUGCUAAUACAACUAUGCAGUGGCUUUGUGUUGCUUUGUCCUUGGCUAUACAAACGACUUGCUACCUACACUGUGCACAAAACAUUUGUUAACUUGCAUUUAUACUUGCAACUACAGUCAUGCAGUGUUAACAAAGUGACAGAUGACCUCUGUUAUGCAUAUACUGCACAGGCCUCAUUCACAAGGCAGCAUUGUAGCUAGCUUUUCCCUCCCUGUGCAAGAGGUGGCAGUGAUAACUUCUAUACUGCUUUGGUCAAAGCAAUGGGCUGUGCUUUCACACACCUUAGUUGCAUCUUCCAUGCAUGAGAGUCUCUUGUGAUGUCAUUUAGCCUUAGUCUGAUCUAUCUACUCUAGCCUUUGUAUAAUUGUCACCAUGCUCUGGGAAGAGUCAGUGUAAUUGUACUUAUCCUGCAUUUCUUGCUGUUGUGUCCCUUGUGUCUGUAUUGAACAAAUUUUUAAACUCAGUAUUUUCAUGUUUUUAACCGGUUAAUAAACCAAAGAAACAGCACA